UACGAAGGGGGCUAGCGUUGCUCGGAAUUACUGGGCGUAAAGGGCGCGUAGGCAGAUCGUUAAGUCAGGGGUGAAAUCCCGGGGCUCAACCUCGGAACUGCCCUUGAUACUGGCGAUCUUGAGUAUGAGAGAGGUAUGUGGAACUCCGAGUGUAGAGGUGAAAUUCGUAGAUAUUCGGAAGAACACCAGUGGCGAAGGCGACAUACUGGCUCAUUACUGACGCUGAGGCGCGAAAGCGUGGGGAGCAAACAGG
rnacentral:rRNA from 1 species